AACGAACGCUGGCGGCAGGCCUAACACAUGCAAGUCGAGCGAGGACUUCGGUCCUAGCGGCGGACGGGUGAGUAACGCGUGGGAACGUGCCCCUUGGUACGGAAUAGCCCCGGGAAACUGGGAGUAAUACCGUAUGAGCUCUACGGAGGAAAGAUUUAUCGCCAAGGGAUCGGCCCGCGUUGGAUUAGGUAGUUGGUGGGGUAAUGGCCUACCAAGCCGACGAUCCAUAGCUGGUUUGAGAGGAUGAUCAGCCACACUGGGACUGAGACACGGCCCAGACUCCUACGGGAGGCAGCAGUGGGGAAUCUUAGACAAUGGGCGCAAGCCUGAUCUAGCCAUGCCGCGUGAGCGAUGAAGGCCUUAGGGUUGUAAAGCUCUUUCAGCUGGGAAGAUAAUGACUGUACCAGCAGAAGAAGCCCCGGCUAACUCCGUGCCAGCAGCCGCGGUAAAAC
rnacentral:rRNA from 1 species